rnacentral:misc_RNA from 1 species
CUCUAUUCCAGCAGCCGCGGUAAUACGUUCCCGGGCCUUGUACACACCGCCCGUCACAUCACGAAAGUCGGUUGCACUAGAAGUCGGUGGGCUAACCCGCAAGGGAGGCAGCCGCCUAAAGUGUGAUCGGUAAUUGGGGUGAAGUCGUAACAAGGUAGCUGUAGGAGAACCUGCGGCUGGAUCACCUCCUUUCUAAGGAGCAUCUCCGCCCCGGAUCUAAACGGGGUCGCGACCGGCACCGCAAGGUGCCGACCUGAUGCAACCUAGGUCGAGAGGAAUCGCUGUAAUGUCUUGCCUCUUGCCUUUCCUGUUCGGUUUUCAGAGAACCGCCCGGUUCUAUGACAAGCGAUAUUGCUGCGGAAGGUGGCUGGCAGGUCGGCUGUCCGAUCGACCCGAGCGCAUCCAAGUGAUGAAUCGGGCCUAUAGCUCAGUUGGUUAGAGCGCACGCCUGAUAAGCGUGAGGUCGGUAGUUCGAAUCUACCUAGGCCCACCAUCAUCUGAACGAUGAACGCGGAACGAUGAUCGAUGAACAUGGCGUCAUCGCACGUCGUGCAACGUUCAUCCUCUUCACCGGGGGCUGUAGCUCAGUUGGGAGAGCACCUGCUUUGCAAGCAGGGGGUCGUCGGUUCGAUCCCGUCCAGCUCCACCAAUUCCACCGGCCCUGGUACGCUCCGGCUUCUCCGUAGCAAUCACACUCCGUCGACCGCGAGACAAGCGGUGAGUGCAAUCGCCUCCACGAUUGCGUUCAGCGUUGGUCUUCGCGACCGCAGUGUUUGUUGACAACUGAAUAUGGGU